ACCCAUCUUGAGAUGAUAUCCUCCCUCCCCCCUUCCAUCAAAUCCCAUAUUAUCAAGUCCCUUGUAUAGAACAUACUCUUUAACUUGGAGAGUAUAAUUGGAAGUAAGAAGUGUGAUUGUAUCGUUCCAUUUGGUUUUCAAGGCAUUCAGUUUGUUCUUCACAUUAAUAGUCAUCAACUGGAUCUCCGAUUUAUCUAGCGGCAGACUUGGUUACUCAUUAGAGACUCAAUUUUAGUCUGUAUUAAUUUUUUCAACCAAAAAAAAAGGUUAUUUGAUUUCGGAAAAACUAGUCCAAUAUUUUAAACAAUUAACUCCAAAAACCAAGUUUAUUUUGAAUAUCACUGACAAUCUUGCCCCAACAUGAAACAAAACACACUCCAUUGGAGGGGAGAGACUAUGGGAGUGGGACAGUUCAUCACCACCUUGUUUUUAAGUUGUGGUGUAUCGUGGACUGUACAUGUCUGUCAAUCCAAUCCAGGCAUAAAAAUUGUGGGCCCCUUGAGAGGAUGCAGCAUAACAAAUUUAAACUAAUCAAAUGACGUUAUCUGUUUGAUUUUGUGAGUUGCAUUUUAGACUGCCGACAGUUUUCUUUCUUACUGUCUACUUGGAAGGUGGAUGGUCAGGAUCAUUCAAUUGAGGAGGCGACGGAAGUUAACAUGGAAACCUCACUCAGGUGGACCACAUGACAGAGAAACCAAUGGCUUGUUUUUAGCCGUCUGCUUCUUCUGCAACAUGAUGACCCUAGAGAAGUCAAAUGGCAUGAAUUUUAGGAGAGAAGAACUCAGCAGCGUGGGCCCACCUGUUGGAAGGCUGGGAUGCGUGAAUGUGAUUACUGUAUGCCACAUGUGCCAAGCACACGGGCAAUCUUUGAGACUCUUCUACCUUUGUACUUUUUGAAAGGAACAUUUCACCCGUCUCUGUAUAAUAAAUAAUAA